UGGGGAAUUUUGGACAAUGGGCGCAAGCCUGAUCCAGCCAUGCCGCGUGCAGGAAGAAGGCCUUCGGGUUGUAAACUGCUUUCGUCAGGGAAGAAAUCCUUUGGGCUAAUACCCCGGAGGGAUGACGGUACCUGAAGAAUAAGCACCGGCUAACUACGUGCCAGCAGCCGCGGUAAUACGUAGGGUGCGAGCGUUAAUCGGAAUUACUGGGCGUAAAGCGUGCGCAGGCGGCUUUGCAAGACAGAUGUGAAAUCCCCGGGGCUCAACCUGGGAACUGCAUUUGUGACUGCAAGGCUAGAGUGCGGCAGAGGGAGAUGGAAUUCCGCGUGUAGCAGUGAAAUGCGUAGAUAUGCGGAGGAACACCGAUGGCGAAGGCAAUCUCCUGGGCCUGCACUGACGCUCAUGCACGAAAGCGUGGGGAGCAAACAGGAUUAGAUACCCUGGUAGUCCACGCCCUAAACGAUGUCAACUGGUUGUUGGACGGCUUUGCUGUUCAGUAACGAAGCUAACGCGUGAAGUUG
rnacentral:rRNA from 1 species